UCUGUGGAUAGAAUUCUAGAUGUGAGGGUCUUUAGCACCAGUAGAAAACUGUGGAAUGGUAUUUGAUGUUUCCAAGGUAGGAACAUGUGCGGAAACUUGGCCGUUUGGCCGAAAUAUCUAAAAUCAGCUGUAGAGCCGACCAUAGGCAGUGAGUGAGCUAUGGUUAGACGUAGCGAAGUGUUUCAAGUGUAUCAUCCGGUACUCCUCGACGUAUCAAUUCGGU